GGCAACAACUACUGCAGUAAUCCAGAGUAACAUACUCUGUUUAUGUUCUAGUGUACAUUAAACCCAGUGGUUGGAGAUGUACUCAAGUGUUGUCCUGGUAGCUCAGCUUCUUUAUUGCAUAAACAACCCCCCCUGUUUGUGGUGACCUUUCUGUUAAUCAUGCAGUAACUGGGUGAGAGGAUAAGCCUGUAGAAAGAUUGUAAGCAACAGUGAACACUACACACGACUGCUGCCUAGCAGGUACUGUGCAAAGUUGUUGCAUGUGCAUCAUUCCUGGAACGUUUUUGACAGUGCUGAGUGUGUCCAUACAGCCGAGUUCCACGCCUGGAUCAGUGACCUUCCCAUCUUCAAGACUGAAACCUGAAUAAAGAGGGAGAAGCAAACGCCUGGCUGGACGUUGUAAAUGCCACCGAGGCCACUUGUCUGAUCCGUGUAUCAUGUCUACUGAGAGAAAGACUGAACCGGCAGCCUCAGAAAGAGCCUUUCUUUCAGUUGUUCAGUUACGCAGAGCCCAGGAAAACUGCAAGUGGUCUGGCUUCCUUUCCCUGGGGGAAAAAUGGUUACAGAUGUGACUAGAAUUUUCAAGCCAUGGGCUUUUUCCUGUCUCUACAACUCAUGUUGCAACAAACACUCCUGAUGGGGAAAGAAGAUGAGUAUCCCUGCUUGCAGGACUUGAAGAUUUCUUGCAACUCUUGCCAACCUGAUAUCCCAGUCUCUAGUAUCCCAGUCUUCUGAUAUCACAGUCUCUUUGUCUUCAAAUAAAGCAGUAUCUGAAUUAUCUGUG